GACGAACGCUGGCGGCGUGCUUAACACAUGCAAGUCGAACGGAAAGGCCUCUUUCGGGGGGUACUCGAGUGGCGAACGGGUGAGUAACACGUGAGUAACCUGCCCUUGACUUUGGGAUAACUUCAGGAAACUGGGGCUAAUACCGGAUAGGAGCUCCUGCUGCAUGGUGGGGGUUGGAAAGUUUCGGCGGUUGGGGAUGGACUCGCGGCGUAUCAGCUUGUUGGUGGGGGAGUGGCUUACCAAGGCUUUGACGGGUAGCCGGCCUGAGAGGGUGAGCGGCCACAUUGGGACUGAGAUACGGCCCAGACUCCUACGGGAGGCAGCAGUGGGGAAUAUUGCACAAUGGGUGGAAGCCUGAUGCAGCAGCGCCGUGUGCGGGAUGACGGCCUUCGUGUUGUAAACCGCUUUCGCUCAUGACGAAGCUUUGUGUGACGGUAGUGGGUAAAGAAGCACCGGCUAACUACGUG
rnacentral:rRNA from 1 species